UCCCUGGUGGUCCAGUGGUUAGGACUUGACACUUUCACUGCCAGGACUCAGGUUCAACCCCUGGGAA
rfam:Ovis aries breed Texel chromosome 15, whole genome shotgun sequence.